AAUCUUCACUCCCAUGUACCUGCCCAUCAUCAUCACUGUGGCUUGAGGAUUUGUGCCUGGAGACUCUUUGAAUGUGGAACCAUCGAUGACGCGGAGCCUAUGGACACCAAGAACCUUGUGAUUGGGAGCGAUCACCUUUCCAACUUGACAUCCGCCAUGGUAAUGCCAUAUUGUGAUCACAGUGUCUUUGCAGAACUGUUCUAACGACUCUGUGUUAUGAGUGUGUUUUGGUAUUAGAUUAACAUUAGCUUGGACACUCAUGUUAAGCAGCCUAUCUAGUGUCUCUUUGUUACACUGUGUGAAGUUGGUGAAGUGUUUAGAUUUCGCUAUCUUCUCCACAAUGCGUAUACCAUCUACACAUCGUUUUAGAUCACGUGGAUGGCUGAAGUAGUUGAAGGUGAUGGAAGGGUUGUCGUCAGGAUUAGUAGUCACCAGGCUAAUGUUCC
rnacentral:misc_RNA from 1 species